rnacentral:rRNA from 1 species
GACGAACGCUGGCGGCGUGCUUAACACAUGCAAGUCGAACGGAAAGGCCCUGCUUUUGUUGGUUGCUCGAUUGGCGAACGGGUGAGUAACACGUGAGUAACCUGCCCUUGACUUUGUGAUAACUUCAGGAAACUGGGGCUAAUACCGCAUAUGAGCUCCUGCUCCAUGUUGGGGGUUGGAAAGUUUCGGCGGUUGGGGAUGGACUCGCGGCUUAUCAGCUUGUUGGUGGGGUAGUGGCUUACCAAGGCUUUGACGGGUAGCCGGCCUGAGAGGGUGACCGGCCACAUUGGGACUGAGAUACGGCCCAGACUCCUACGGGAGGCAGCAGUGGGGAAUAUUGCACAAUGGGCGGAAGCGUGAUGCAGCAACGCCGCGUGCGGGAUGACGGCCUACGGGUUGUAAACAGAUUUCGAAUGUGACGAAGCGUGAGUGACGGUAAUGAGUAAAGAAGCACCGGCUAACUACGUG